rnacentral:misc_RNA from 1 species
AACUGCGAUAAGUAGUGUGAAUUGCAGAAUUCAGUGAAUCAUCGAGUCUUUGAACGCACGUUGCGCCCCCUGGUAUUCCGGGGGGCAUGCCUGUCCGAGCGUCAUUGCUGCCCUUCAAGCCCGGCUUGUGUGUUGGGUCGUCGUCCCCCCGUGGGACGGGCCCGAAAGGCAGCGGCGGCACCGUGUCCGGUCCUCGAGCUUAUGGGGCUUCGUCACCCGCUCGAUCAGGGCCGGCCGGGCGCCUGCCGGCGUUCUACCAACCUUAUUUCUCCAGGUUGACCUCGGAUCAGGUAGGGAUACCCGCUGAACUUAAGC